GCCUGUGGCAUUGUGGUGAUUGGGCAGUGCGGAUUCCCUAUGCAGAUAAGGAGGAGGAGCCUGUGAUUAAGGUUAAGGUCAGUUGGAAUGCAACUGUUACUGGUUGGAAGAUGUUCUUGAUUGUAGAGGAGAGGAAUCUCUCUCUAUAAAAGGAUAGCAGGCAGGGGUCUGCAAAAAGAUGGGUUGAGAGGGAGGAAAGAGCCCCUUCAGGAGGAGGCUGCCCUUGUGUGAAUUAAUGUCCUCAUGCAGACUGAACAAAAUUUCCCAACUCCUCACCAGCUGGUCUCCCUCGUCCUCAUGGUACAGGAGCGGUUGCUUAAGGGGCCGGCGGACAUACGUGUGGGUGGUUGUGCCCUGGAAGUACGUUGCAGCAAACUUUGCAAAUUUAUACUCCGAAAGAUCCUCCUCUUCUUCCUCAGGCAAAGCAUCUUCCCUAGCCAGCUGGGCCAAACGCAACUAGGAGAGAAUUAUGACCAUGAAGAAGCAGAAGCCAAGACAGACCCAAGGACUGAGAAGAGGCUCUGGAGAGAAGUAAGGCUGUUGCCGAAUCCUCACAAGUCAAGAUCCUGGAGCUGCAAUGCCUUGCCAAGCAACUGACAACUGUCAAUACCAAUUGUUAAUUGUCAAUUGGCCAUUGUCUUGGCAGCAUGAGAUGACCAUCUUGCAAUCCCUCCCCCGCCCAAAAAAUACAUCACAUACAAAACCAUCUAGAUGCAUUCUAAUUCAUUACAGGGUCAUUCCAAGAAGCCCAAACAUAGAAAGCGACAUAAACCAUCAUCAAGACAAUCUCCAGGUUGAGUUGCUGCUGCCUCAGCCAGUCUCCCUGUCUCACGAAACCCAGAAGUGUUCCAAUCAGGCACUACUGGUGUAAAAAGAGCCCAGAUUAAAAGUGAGCUCUCCAGAUGCACAGACAUCUUCAUGAGCCAGAGCAGAAAUAUAAGUUACAAUCCUGCUAACUUGGCAAAGAGGCACCUUUUAACAUGGUGAUUCUCUUUAUUUAGCAGGGGGAGAGUAACUGGCCCUAUCCAUCCCCAGCACAGGACCUCCAGUGACUGUUGCUGGUAUCUGAUUUAUGUUUCUUUUUAGAUUGUGAGCCCUUCGGGGACAGGGAACCAUCUCAUUUAUUUAUUUAUUUAUUUAUUUAUUA